UACGAAGGGGACUAGCGUUGUUCGGAAUCACUGGGCGUAAAGCGCACGUAGGCGGAUUUGUAAGUCAGGCGUGAAAUCCCGGGGCUCAACCUCGGAACUGCCUUUGAUACUGUGAAUCUUGAGUCCGAUAGAGGUGGGUGGAAUUCCUAGUGUAGAGGUGAAAUUCGUAGAUAUUAGGAAGAACACCGGUGGCGAAGGCGGCCCACUGGAUCGGUACUGACGCUGAGGUGCGAAAGCGUGGGGAGCAAACAGG
rnacentral:rRNA from 1 species